UCAUCCUACGGGGGGCAGCAGUAAGGAAUCUUCCACAAUGGGCGAAAGCCUGAUGGAGCAACGCCGCGUGGGGGAAGAAGGUCUUCGGAUCGUAAAACCCUGUUGUUAGAGAAGAAAGUGCGUGAGAGUAACUGUUCACGUUUCGACGGUAUCUAACCAGAAAGCCACGGCUAACUACGUGCCAGCAGCCGCGGUAAUACGUAGGUGGCAAGCGUUAUCCGGAAUGAUUGGGCGUAAAGGGUGCGCAGGCGGAACCAUAAGUCUGAAGUAAAAGCCAU
rnacentral:rRNA from 1 species